GAUGAACGCUAGCGGGAGGCUUAACACAUGCAAGUCGAGGGGCAUCACGGGUAGCAAUACCUGGUGGCGACCGGCAGACGGGUGAGUAACGCGUAUGUAACCUACCCUGUACAGGGGGAUAACUCGGAGAAAAUUCGGACUAAUAUCCCAUGGCAAUAUCUGGAGGCAUCUUCGGAUAUUUAAAGUUCCGGCGGUACGGGAUGGGCAUGCGUAACAUUAGCUAGUUGGUAAGGUAACGGCUUACCAAGGCUUUGAUGUUUAGGGGUCCUGAGAGGGUGGUCCCCCACACUGGUACUGAGACACGGACCAGACUCCUACGGGAGGCCAG
rnacentral:rRNA from 1 species